GACGAACGCUGGCGGCGUGCUUAACACAUGCAAGUCGUACGGUAAGGCCCUUUCGGGGGUACACGAGUGGCGAACGGGUGAGUAACACGUGAGUAACCUGCCCACAACUUUGGGAUAACGCUAGGAAACUGGUGCUAAUACUGGAUAUGUGCCCCUGCUGCAUGGUGGGGGUUGGAAAGCUCCGGCGGUUGUGGAUGGACUCGCGGCCUAUCAGCUUGUUGGUGGGGGAGUGGCCUACCAAGGCGGCGACGGGUAGCCGGCCUGAGAGGGUGACCGGCCACAUGGGGACUGAGAUACGGCCCAGACUCCUACGGGAGGCAGCAGUGGGGAAUAUUGCACAAUGGGCGGAAGCCUGAUGCAGCAACGCCGCGUGCGGGAUGACGGCCUUCGGGUUGUAAACCGCUUUCGCCGGGGACGAAGCUUUUGUGACGGGAACCGGUAAAAAAGGACCGGCUAAAUACGUG
rnacentral:rRNA from 1 species